rnacentral:rRNA from 1 species
UUCAUGUUGCCCAAAUGCUAUCAAGGUAAUAGAGAGUUGACAUAAUUGAUUGAAUCGGCUGGCGGAUACUUACGCCGCAAGACGAACGCAACACGACUUCAACUGGUGCGAUGGCAACGGUUAUAAUGUCGUGAACUGCCCAAGAGGGGGAUGUCCACGUUAGGCAAAGAAUAUCAUAUCACAACACUCACCGGGAAAAGUGAAUCUUCAGCCCUGCAACUAUUAGCGGCCGAUACUUGAUUAACAUUAUAGUGGAACGGCUCCAUGCGCACUAACCGUAUUGUUUGAGAGGACGACUGCCAAUACUGGGACCGGACGACAACGCCCAGACCCUGCCGUAGAGCGUGGCAGUAAAUUUUUGACAAUGGGGUGCCCGGAUCCGUGCCAUCAUCCGCGUGUGCGCAUGGUGCCUUCCGAAAUGGCACUGCAGGGAGAAGAGCAACGGUAACGGAUAAAUAUCCCGGCAUCCACGGUGCCUGCAUGUGUGCCGGUUACCUCAUGCCGGCAGCCGCGGUAACAUCGAAGUGCAAAGCGUUAAUCCGAGCCUGGCCGCGUAAGCAUGCUGCAGGCGGCUUCGGUGAGAUGAAAUCCAGAGCGCCGAAUUUUUGGAACGCAGCUUUAACUUGCCGAGUUUGAAAGGCCGAGGGAGGUAAUUCUCGCGUGGCGAAAAUGCGUGUAGAUAUGCGGAGGAACACCGAUGGCGAAGGCAGCCUCCUGGGAUAACACUGACGCCUUACCAGCGGAGCAAACAGGGAUUAGAUACUCCAGAAAUCUUACGCCCUAAACGAUGUCAACUAGCUGUUGGGGCUUCCUCGGGCCUUGGGAAGCGCAGCUAACGCGUGAAGUUGACCUGUUCUGGGGAGUAUUGUUCGCAAGAUUAAAACUCACAAAGGAAUUGACGGGGACUCCGCACAAGCGGUGGAUGAUGGAUUAAUCUGAUGCAACGCGAAAAACCUUACCUACCCUUGACAUGUCUGGAAUCCCGAAGAGAUUUGGGAGUGCUCGCAAGGAGAACCAAAUACAGGUGCUGCAUGGCUGUCGUCAGCUCGUGUCGUGAGAUGUUGGGUUAAGUCCCGCAACGAGCAACCCUUGUCAUUAGUUGCUACGAAAGGGCACUUAAUGAGAUCAAGCCGCAGCAAACCGGAGUGAAAGGUGGGGAUGACGCUAAGUCCUCAUGGCCCUUAUGGGUAGGGCUUCACACGUCAUACAAUGGUCGGGACAGAGGGUCGCCAACCCGCGAGGGGGAGCCAAUCCCAGAAACCCGAUCGUAGUCCGGAUCGCAGCUCCAAACUCGACUGCGUGAAGUCGGAAUCGCUAGUAAUCGCGGAUCAGCAUGUCGCGGUGAAUACGUUCCUGGUCUUGUACACACCGCCCGUCACACCAUGGGAGUGGGUUUUACCAGAAGUAGUUAGCCUAACCGUAAGGAGGGCGAUUACCACGGUAGGAUUCAUGACUGGGGUGAAGUCGUAACAAGGUAG